CUCUCUAAUGAUGUGGUUUAUAAAACUUUCGUUCUCCUGAGCUUAAUAAUGCUGAAAAAUUGUGGAGACCUGAGCUGAAGAGUU